UUAUGACCUCAGCAACUUCCUUUCUGUGUUUGCUACCUAGAUACUAGAAGCUGUGCAGGUUUGGUGUACCACACACUGCCCAUCAUCAUGGUACUACAGGCCUCAAAGCAACAGUUUUACAGAGACAAGAUAAAUGAGAAUGAUUAAGAAAUUCACCUUAGAUCCAGUAAUAUUAGUGGACCUGACGAAGACCCACCAGAGAAUGAAAAUCAAGAGGAGGAAAAGAGGAGGCAACAGAAAAUACAAUCAACAGAUUCAUGAUAUUCAUCCAAGUAAGAAUAGUGGCAUAUUAGCACUCCUUGUGGAGAAGACUGAGGAGAUGAGACAUACAGUAUCACCUGGCACCUCUUCUGCCAUCUAACAGAGGGCUGUCUGCAAAAGAAAGCUGUGUAAGAAGACAAAUAAUGCAUGCUUGAGAGAAUUGCUAGCUAAGCCAGAAGCCUGUCUUGUGAAGUAGCUGUCCUUCUUAUGAAGCCACAAGUGCAAAACUCAUUUGGAGGAAAAUAUCAACUCUGGCUUUCAGCUGAAUCAUUCCAAACCCUGUUAGUGGUAAAGGCUGAGCUAACUGAAUCUCAGGCUCAUUUCUUCAAGAUAUUUGGCUGACCAUUUGGGGAAGAAUACGGUGGUUCCUGGAGGUGAUUCCUAGCAAACAACAAAAUGCUUUACUGAUGAUUAGCCUGGAUAACAGUCAUUCAACGUUCAAUGACAAAAGAUUCUAUGCGAUGGAAUAUUAUCCAGGAAAACAUGCAUAAAGAUUGUGUGGCAUGCUUCGGAACCCACAGCUGGUAAAAAUCAGAACUUGUGCAGGAGCUGUGUUAUAAAUACAUCAGCUGAGACAGGGCUCCACCACUCUGCACUUUAUUACUUGCAGUUUUCCAUAAUGGCCUUUGUCUGUUGCAAAGAGAAGUUUCCUCGAUGAGAGGUUUGCCUUUGAACAUCCAGGCUGUAAUCCAAGCCAAUGGACACAAAAUGGUGACACGAUUAGGAAAAGGCUGCCUUUAUAGUAUCCAUUCUGGGCCAAUCUGCAGCUUUUAUGUGCACAUUAUCAUUGCCCCUGAGCCAUAAUGGACAUAGAAUUGGAAGCAGCCUUCCACCUGAGCCAUCAUCCAAGCCACUUUAUGAAGCCAUCAUCUAUAUCCAUCCCAAGAGGCUUAUUCUACGAGUAUGACUUUUCUCAGUCACGAAGACCAUCAAACUCAUAGAUGUGGAUAUUCAUAUUAAAAUCAUUUUGGGUAACUCUCUUUUCAUAAACCAUCACUCAAAAAUCCCUUUGGACUUUAAAGACAACAAACUGAAUAAAAAUACACAUGGUUCUAUGGCU